rnacentral:rRNA from 1 species
AGCGAACGCUGGCGGCAGGCCUAACACAUGCAAGUCGAACGAACCUUUCGGGGUUAGUGGCGGACGGGUGAGUAACACGUGGGAACGUGCCUUUAGGUUCGGAAUAACUCAGGGAAACUUGUGCUAAUACCGAAUGUGCCCUUCGGGGGAAAGAUUAAUCGCCUUUAGAGCGGCCCGCGUCUGAUUAGCUAGUUGGUUGAGGUAAUGGCUCACCAAGGCGACGAUCAGUAGCUGGUCUGAGCGGAUGAUCAGCCACAUUGGGACUGAGACACGGCCCAAACUCCUACGGGAGGCAGCAGUGGGGAAUCUUGCGCAAUGGGCGAAAGCCUGACGCAGCCAUGCCGCGUGAAUGAUGAAGGUCUUAGGAUUGUAAAAUUCUUUCACCGGGGACGAUAAUGACGGUACCCGGAGAAGAAGCCCCGGCUAACUUCGUG